rnacentral:lncRNA from 1 species
GCCGUCUUAGCUGGCCCCGGGUAGGCUCGGCAUCCCCGGCAGCCGUCUUAGCUGGCCCCGGGUAGGAUCGGCAUCCCCCGGCAACCGUCUUAGCUGGCCCCGGGCAGGGUCGGGCAUCCCUCGGCAGUACUCUUAGCUGGCCCCGGGCAGAGUCUAGCACCCCCGCAGCGGUCUUAGCUGACCCCGGCAGGAUCGGGCAUCCCCGGCAGCCGUCUUAGCUGGCCCCGGCAGGAUCGGGCAUCCCUGGCAGCCCUCUCAGCUGACCCCGGGCAGGAUCUGACCAUCCCUGGGUAGGAUCUGGCUGUCCGUGGUCUCUGGGCAGAUCUGGCCGCCCCUGGCAGCUCGCACGCUGGCCCGGCCUCUGGACCACAAGUAACCAUGGGUCUGCCCGGGGCCGUGCCUCUGCCCGGUGGGGAAAGGCCUUCCCCUCCCUCUCGUCCCCUUCCUCAGAGGCCCCCCGCAGUGCCCGAGUGCUCCGGGGUCUGGUAGAGCUUCUAGAGGCGCAUUUAGCCAGCGCUUCGCCAAGCACCGAGGCGUCGAGGGAUGGCGACAAACAACAGCCAGUCUCUCUUCAGCAGAUACUUCCUGAAUUCCCUUCUGUGCCGGACGUAGGCUAAGCGCUGGGGUACGGCGGUGAACGUAAUGAACAUGGUCUCCGCAUCUGCCGAGUUUAGAGCCUGAUGCGAGACAACCAAGCAAAGCAAGAUCAACAAUAAGCACAGAGGCCACUGGUGACUGCUUCUCAGAUGAAGUCUGCUCAGGCCUGCCCCCUCAGGCACACAGGCCCUGGCUGCCUCUCACCGCCACCCCUCGCUGCGGGAGGCGUCUGGGUGGUUUUUAUUUUUAAGACACUCAGACAACCAAAGAAAAGCAAAUGCUGUCCCUCCUGAAACGCCUCCUCCCUCUCUCCAAACUCCCCAUUCCCAGCAGCAAACCUGGGCAAACUCCCAAAAUGUGGGAUGUUCCUGAACUGGUGUCGUCAGCUUCAUCAUUCAGAAGGUGGGGAGGAUGGAUCUCUGCAGAAAGGUUCCGCCGCAUCCUACUUCCUGUCCUCACCCUCACCAGUGUCUCCAGGGAGAGCGGGAUCCGCUGGACAGAGCAGCCGGCAACGUCACUGCGGCGGGCAGGGCAGAGCGUCGUGCAAUUGUCCAGGUGUGAUGGUAGCGCCAGGCCUGGGCCGUGCGGUGGCAGCGACAUGGAGGGAUGGGGCGGCAGGGCCCAUG